rnacentral:rRNA from 1 species
UUAAAUUUUUGAAGUUAUCUUAGCUUUUUUGUUGGGUGAAAUCAGUAUAAAGAGUUUCUCUUUCUUUUAAAAUUAAUAGGAAUUAAAAAACUUUGAUUUAAAACCAGGAUUAGAUACCCUGUUAUUCUAAGUUAUAUUUAGACAGGGUAGUAAAAGCUGUUCUUCAAACCCAAAGAUUUUGGCGGCACUUUAUCCAAAUAGAGGAGCUUGUCCCUUAAUCGAUAGCCCCCGUUUUAUCUUUCCUCUGUUUGUAGAGCUUGUAUACCGCCGUUGUCAGAUCACUUUUAGAGAAUGUUUUCAAGUUAAAAUACUUUUCUACUUCAGGUCAAGGUGCAGUUUAUAUAGAGGUGGAGGUGAGCUACAAUUUUCUUUAGAAAUACGGAUUUCAAGCCUUGAAGCUGGUUGAAGGUGGAUUUAUUAGUAAAGUAA